UACGUAGGGGGCAAGCGUUGUCCGGAAUUAUUGGGCGUAAAGAGCGCGUAGGCGGUCCGAUAAGUCGGCUGUGAAAGUCAGGGGCUCAACCCUUGAAAGCCGGCCGAUACUGUCGGACUAGAGUCCGGAAGAGGCAAGUGGAAUUCCCGGUGUAGCGGUGAAAUGCGCAGAUAUCGAGAGGAAUACCAACGGCGAAGGCAGCACUCUGGGCAGUUUCUGACACUGAGGCACGAAGGCUAGGGGAGCAAACGGG
rnacentral:rRNA from 1 species